rnacentral:rRNA from 1 species
UACGGGGGGGGCAAGCGUUGUUCGGAAUUACUGGGCGUAAAGGGCUCGUAGGUGGCCAACUAAGUCGGACGUGAAAUCCCUCAGCUUAACUGGGGAACUGCGUCCGAUACUGGAUGGCUUGAGUUUGGGAGAGGGAUGCGGAAUUCCAGGUGUAGCGGUGAAAUGCGUAGAUAUCGGGAGGAACACCAGUGGCGAAGGCGGUUGCCUGGAGCUUUGCUGACGCUGAGGCGCGAAAGCGUGGGGAGCGAUCCGG